rnacentral:rRNA from 1 species
CCUACGGGAGGCUGCAGUGAGGAAUAUUGGUCAAUGGACGAGAGUCUGAACCAGCCAAGUAGCGUGAAGGAUGACUGCCCUAUGGGUUGUAAACUUCUUUUAUAUGGGAAUAAAACGUUCCACGUGUGGGAUUUUGUAUGUACCAUAUGAAUAAGGAUCGGCUAACUCCGUGCCAGCAGCCGCGGUAAUACGGAGGAUCCGAGCGUUAUCCGGAUUUAUUGGGUUUAAAGGGAGCGUAGGGGGUUUGUUAAGUCAGUGGUGAAAGUUUGCGGCUCAACCGUAAAAUUGCAGCUGAAACUGGCAGUCUUGAGUGCAGUAGCGGUGGGCGGAAUGCGUGGUGUAGCGGUGAAAUGCUUAGAUAUCACGAAGAACUCCGAUUGCGAAGGCAGUUCACUGGACUGCAACUGACACUGAGGCUCGAAAGUGUGGGUAUCAAACAGGAUUAGAUACCCGUGUAGUC